UACGGUCGCACGAAUCAGUCGCCAUUGUGCACGGAUAUUUGUUGGUAGUGUUCAGUUUUUUAUUUUUUAUUGUGUUUUAAUAAAUUGUGAUUAAUAAAUGAUAGUUAAUUAAAAAAGAAUCGCUUAUUAACUGCUUUUUCAUGUAACUUUCAUGGAAAAUUCUCAAUAAAGAAAGUACUAUCAAAAGGAAGAGAUUCAUACGUAAAUUGUUUGUUGUCUACACAAUGGAUCUGACUUUUCAACCUUGAUAUCCUAUCUUCGGUACAGGACAGCAUUGUAUACACCAGCGUUGCACAGCGUGGUGAGUUCGUUCAAAAUCCAGUGGAUGCAAACAACACGUGUAAACCUCUGCAUCGAAUUAGCGAGAGAAAUAUGGUUCUAAUGCGAAUUAUUCCACGAUGCUCAUGGAAGAAAGAGGCCUCGUGGCGCUACCGAUGGAAACGGACGAAAACAUAGCACGUAAGGAGAGACAGAGAGAGAAAGAGAGAGUGAGGGGGAGGGGAAAGAGCGUUGCUCAAACAUCCGAGUGUUUAUCACGUCGAGUGAAUGAUUACAACGAUGGGUUCCAGGGUUUUUAGAUCGGACGAUGGUUUCUUUUUCUUGGAGGAAGAUGGAACGAUUGGAGGAUUUGUUGGUAAUGGUUAGGUAACAGGAGGGUAAUGGAUUAAUUUUAUAUCGUUUUCUAAAAAAUUCUUUUUGUUUUUUUUUUUUAUUACGCAAGUUUAUUUUUAUAAGUCAAAAUAAUCUUUAUAUAUAUUUUUUUUAAUGUAAUAAAUUUAAAAUUCUUUUUUUUUUUAUAUUCGAAACAAAAUAUUUUAAGUCUACGUUCUACGACGAUGUUCAAAAUUAUCAUUCGUUAAAAAGAAUUCGUAAUUUACCUUAUCUGUAUUUAUUAUUUCUCUUAUAUUCCAUGUAAUUCAACGGAUAACACGUUGUGUCAUUUUUUUUUUUUUAAAGCGUGUCGACGUCUUUUUUAUUUUUUCUUUCGAAACGUAGAUUUCACUUUAUAAACGCGUUUAAUCGAUUCGUCGCGUGAUUCUGCACGCCAGAUAAAAGUGCUGACCGCAUAACGGGUUCUGGAACGUCUUCGUUCGUCGAGCCGUGUAGUCACCUAUAUAACCGCAAUGUAGUUCAUCGGUGAUCUAAAACCCGAUGUGGAUUAAAUUAAACACGGAAUUGGAAUUAACAAUUCAAAUCAACAGAUGCAUGCUCGAAUCGGUAAUCGUGGAUAGAAUAGAGAAUUCGAAAAUCCAUUUCUUUCGAUCCAUAAUUUGUCGGGCCAACGGGAUCGGAUGGAAAGAUAAGAUCGUAUUAUUCAUUCGGGACUCGAAUCGAAAAUCGAUUCUUGGUGAAAAGUUGAUUAGUCAUCGCGAUGAUCUAUUUCAGACGUUCGUAUCGUGUCUUCGAGAUUUCGUUGAGUUCUAUAUAUCUUAACAACAGUGAAAAAUAAAUCACACUCCGCAAAUAAAACGAACGAAAUUUUGGAAAAACGGCUUAACAUUAUUUUAUUCGCGUGCCAGAAUAAUGUAAUACAAGAUAUUCAUAUAAUAAUACACGGUGAUGAAAACAUUAUUCAUCGUUACAAUGCAACAUCGUGAUAUAUAACGAUAAUAUAUAAAAAUUCGUGAAACGUUACCUUUUUCGAAUAAAUUUUUUUUUUUUAGAAAUUCUUUGUAUUUUCAUCUGAGAUAACAAUUUAAUAAUAAUAAAAAAAUGAUCGCAUCUCGAGAGAAAAUUCUCGCCAGAUGGUCGAUCCAAGAAACGAUA